AAGAAAUAAAAGCUGAAAUAAAUCAUUCUCUCUACUAUUAUUCUGACAUUUCACAUUCUUAAAAUAAAGUGGUGAUCCUAACUGACCUAAGACAGUGAAUUUUUACUAGGAUUAAAUGUCAGGAAUUGUGAAAAACUGAGUUUUUAAAUUUAUUUGGCUAAGGUGUAUGUAAACUUCCGACUUCAACUGAAUAUGCCAUAUUGAAAUGCCAAAUGCUGCCUUAUUGUUUUUCCUUAAUGUUCCAGUUCACAGUUUGGUUCCAGAAUAGCACUUCAUUUCACCUAAAAGGAGAUUGGGACACAUAAAGAAAAAGUCAAGCCAUUAUCCCGUGACUGUUUAUUUGUCACAGGACACAACGCUUUGCUUUGUUGCAAUGUUAUUUAUUUAGUUGUUUUAGUUCAUCACACAAGAAGAAACCCCAUUGUGUGCAUACUAACAGGUUAUGGGCAGAAACCCCAUUGUGUGCAUACUAAGAGGUUAUGGGCAGAAGAAACCCCAUUGUGUGCAUACUAAGAGGUUAUGAGCAGAAGAAACCCCAUUGUGUGCAUACUAAGAGGUUAUGAGCAGAAGAAACCCCAUUGUGUGCAUACUAAGAGGUUAUGGGCAGAAGAAACCCCAUUGUGUGCAUACUAAGAGAUUAUCGGCAGAAACCCCAUUGUGUGCAUACUAAGAGGUUAUGAGCAGAAACCCCAUUGUGUGCAUACUAAGAGGUUAUGAGCAGAAACCCCAUUGUGUGCAUACUAAGAGGUUAUGAGCAGAAACCCCAUUGUGUGCAUACUAAGAGGUUAUGAGCAG